GGGGGGGUGAAAUGACUGCUUGUCUUCCUGUGGCUUAUUUCGUAUCUGAAUAUUCCGAGAAAAGAUUCUUCAAAUCAACCUUACAGCCAAAGCGUAAAAAAUGUGGCGAUAUCUACAACAUUUUGACAAUUCAAUAAGUAUGUGGAGUGGGAAGAUUAUGUGCUGCUAUUUUUGAAAUGAUAAUUUUAGCUGAGCACUACAUAAUUUACAGUAGCGGAUCUAGUGGGUGGGUUUUAUUUGAACGUUAUCAACCAAAAAUUAUCAGCAUAAAAUUUGCUCUUUUGCGGUCUUCGAUUCACCUCCCUCUUUGAAAGAAUUUUCUGGAUCCGCCACCGAUUUGUUAUCAAGAACUACAACUCAUUUCAUGUUCAUUUAUACCACUAAAACUCUACCAGAGUUGUCUUUCUCUAAGAAGCAGAAGACACUUGCUGUGAAAACGGAAAUGGAUGUUGAAUUCUGAAGAAAAGCUUAUUUUAGUGAUCUUUGCAGAAUGUUGUCCACUAAGCUAAUGAUGGGGAUUGUAGCACUACCCUGCACACAGACAUGGAAUUGAUCUGCCUAGUCCAUUAUCAGAAGAGUGACCAGGACUGUUCCUCCCAUCAGAGAAGUUUCUUGAGAAGCAUUACAAGGGACUUGUCUGAAUGGGCAGAAGAAAUGUUUUAACUGACUAUCCCAUCAUUGUCAGCUGUUGGAGACUGAACAAUUUACUGAAAUCAGUGCUGGGGUGUAGCAGUCAGUGGGUGUCCUCAUUUGCCCCAAGAAGAGUCAGAGAAGUAUUCAUUUUUACUGUAAAAAGUUUAGUUCAUGUAAAGAGCAUGAAGGCAGAUUUUACAGUUAUCUCCCUUAGACUAUGUAAAUUAUAAUACAGCACUUGCUAAUGAUGUUAUUUUACAUAUUAAAUGUUGUGUGAAUGUUUUCAAUUUGGUUGGUAGUCAAAGACAUGAGUUAUAGCUGCCUGUAUUGUACCAGUUUACCUACAUAAUUAAACAUAGAUUACAUGCACCUGACUCUCCAGGACAUGUUAUAUACCUGUCUGUCUUUAGAUGGGACGUAUUAUGGUACAGCAAUGUCUGCAUGUCUAUCUUUAGAUGGGAUGUAUUAUGGUACGGUAAUGUCUGUAUGUCCGUCUGUAGAUGGGACAUAUUGUGAUACAGUAAUGUAUGUCUGUCUGUCUGUAGAUGGGACGUAUUAUGGUACAGCAAUGUCUGUAUGUCUGUCUGUAGAUGAGACAUACCAUAGUACAACAAUAUAUCUAUGUCUGUCUGUACUCUGUAGAUGGGAAGUAUUAUGAUACAGCAAUGUCUGUAUGUCUGUCUGUAGAUGGGACGUAUUAUGGUACAACAAUAUCUUUAUGUCUGUCUGUAGAUGGGACGUAUUAUGAUACAACAAUGUCUGUCUGUAGAUGGGAUGUAUUAUGGUACAAAAUGUCUGUCUGUAGAUGGGCAGUGUUAUGGUACAACAAUGUCUGUAUGUCUCUCUGUAGAUGGGACGUAUUAUGGUACAACAAUGUCUGUAUGUCUGUCUGUAGAUGGGAUGUAUUAUGGUACGGUAAUGUCUGUAUGUUCGUCUGUAGAUGGGACAUAUUGUGAUACAGCAAUGUCUGUAUGUCUGUCUGUAGAUGGGACGUAUUAUGGUACAACAAUAUCUGUAUGUCUGUCUGUAGAUGGGCAGUGUUAUGGUACAGAAAUGCCUGUACAUCCGUCUGUAGAUAGAUUGUAUUAUGGUACAGCAAUAUCUCCAUAUACGUCUGUAGAUGGGGUGUAUUAUGGAACAAUGUCUGUAGGUGGGACGUAUUAUGGUAUAUUAAUGUAUGUCUGUCUGUAGACGGUACAUCAAUGUCUGUAAGUCCGUUUGUCGGUGGGACGUAUCACUGUACAGUAAUGUAUGUCUGUCUGUCUGUCUUAAGAUGGUAUGCAUUGUCCAUCAUCAGUGGCCUCGUGGCUAGCCUGUCAGACUCUUGACCAAAAGGUCGUGGGUUCGAAUCCUGGCCGCGGCAGAGCCGACGUUGUGUCCCUGGGAAAGGCAAUUUACAUGAAUUUCCUCACUCCACCCAAGUGUAAAAGGGGUACCUGGCUAUAGACAGUGAAAGAUAUUGUUAGAAUGUUAGUGCUUUAGCGCCUGUAACAACAGCUUGCACUGUAUGCUUCACAGGAAGCUGAGAAAGUUCUAGGUUGAUAUAAGAUCUGCCGGGGUGAUAAUGUAUUGUGAAGCGGUUUUAGCAGCUGGAAAAAGCGCUAUGUUAUGUAAUUUGAGUGUGUGAGUUUUGAGUGCUAGUGAGCAUGUAGAGUGUGAAUGGUUUUGUUUGUGUCCUUUCUGUGUGAAUCAAGUUAUUUCUUGUUUGUGUUUCUUUUCCAUAUGUCAAUAUUCAGUUUGAAAAUGAGGAGUUUUUCCUAUCUCGAGUCAAAAUUAUGACAACCGAUAAGACCAGUGAGUCUCUUGUUUAGAUUGAUUGAUUGUAUCUUGCUUAACGUCUCGCUCGAGAAUUGUUCACUCAUAUGGAGACGUCACCAAGACUGAUAAAGGGCUUCAAAUUUAGGACUAUGCUCGGUGCCAAUGGCCAUUGAGCAGUGAGGGUUAUUUAGCGUGUCACACCUACUGUGACACGAUACAUCUGUUUUUAAGGUAAUCUCCGAGGACCUGUGACAUCCACACCUGAUGGUUUGGCGAUGGAACUGUCACUACCUAUUUUAAUGACUUAGGUCUGUCACAGUCGGGAUUCGAACCCCGGCCCUUCGCAUGCUGGGCGAACGCUCUUAACUUCUCGGCCACCGCGACAAAAUUCUUGGGGAUUUUAAUUUGCUGAAACUUUCAUUUACAUGUACUAGUACCUGUCUGAUUUCUGGCCAUUCCAGCACUCAUUCUCAGUUUGGUUUUUCAGCUCCCUGGGCCUCAUGAGAUUGUGACACCGUGCAGUAGGAGCAGUUUCUACUGGUAUCUCUUAAAAGCAGACAGAGAUUUUCUUAUCAUCUGAUCCAUUUCUGGAGACAAACUUUUGUAUGGAGCUGGGUAGCAGUUACUUGAGAUGUCCGGCUGAUGGAUGAAGAUAGUUUCCCUGAGACUCUAACAUUUUGUAGAACUUGGAUAGCUCUACUCAGUAUUGCUGUAGAAAAUGUCAGGACGGUGGAGAUUUAGAUAAGUGGUGUGAUGUUAUUGAUGGUAAACAGAAGACUGUGACCUUGAAUCUGAAGAUCUGUGAUGAAGACUGGACGUUUGGGGUCACUCUCUGUUACAGUACUACAAAUCUAACAGUGCCACACUCAGUCACAAAGAGGUUGUCUCUGAUGUCCACACAUAAACCGUAUGGACAGCGUAAAUCACAGUGAAUGUAACGGAGGAACUGUCCGUCCUGAUCUAGGAUGUGGAUACGGUGAUUGCCACAGUCUGCUGUCAGGAUGUGACUCUGGCUGUCUGUAGUGAUGCCGCGUGGAUCAAAUGAUUGCUUGGUAUUAGAGGGAUGACCAGUGUAUCUAAAUCGGAGUUUUCCUGACUGAUUGACCACCACUACUGCUCUAAUGUCAGCCACACAGAUAUCCAGGUUCUUGUUCUCACUGAGGUAUUUACUGUAUUUAUAGCUAUAUGAUGGAUGGAAAGCGUAACCACCAGAUGAGUAGAGAGGACGACCCUGAUCAUCAAACUGAAUGCUUUGUUUCUCUGUGGAGCCGGAGUAACGCACGACUUUGUAUUGUUUGUAAUCAUCACUGUCCAUGGUAACCAGGAGAUCGUUAGCCGCGGUACAGCAGACAUAGCGAGGUCUCCACCCCUGUAGUGUGAUCACGAAUGAGUUGAGUGGAAUAAUGAACCUCCAGAUGUCUAUGUACACGUGUAUGAAUAAACUGUUGUACUCGCGCGUGCGAGCUUAUCCUAUA